AAAAGCUAGGAUAGAAAGGAAAACAAUCCAGCUGUACAGAGUUGAGAUGGUUAGAAGAUGGACUGCAUUAGAGACUGAGCAUCUGUGGAUCAGGGAGGGACCCCAUGGAUCUGAUUCACCAGUGAAGAGCCAGUGUCCAUCUUCCCACCUAAGGCCUCUACUGGUAAAAUUAUCCAUUACAACCCACAAGGUGAUGUGACUGUUUCUGGUCCUGGAACCACAUAUUGAUGACCAAUAGACUAUUCUACAGUCAUCAGCAAAAAAAGUGUUCCACCAAGAAGAAGAAGUGGGCUCCCGUGGAAAGGACAGAUGAAAUGAACUCCCAGAGUCCAUACUAACGGACAGCAGCAACAUAGGUUAAAAAAACAGGUGUCCAAUUAUCACUAUCACAUCAUUAUUACUGUCAUUAGAGACAAAACAUAACCAACGCUAUUUAUUUUCUUCCACUCUCUUCCAAACCUACUUAUUGACCUCAAUUACCCCAGAAGAAAAGGAACAUAACUAAAUGAAAUGAGGUGUCAACACUGCACCAUGGCCUGCCUGGGCUGUAAGAUGAUCCUGCCACUCUUCUCCAAUGGCCUUCCAGAAGCCACAGACCACCUCAAAGCCACAAGUCUAGUGGCCUUUCCCUGAAGUGCACAUUCUCCUUGUUUAUUUUGUAGUAUUUAUAGUGUCACAGGACAUAGACUUCU